CUUAAAGGAAUUGACGGGGCCGCACAAGCGGCGGAGCAUGCGGAUUAAUUCGAUGCAACGCGAAGAACCUUACCAAGGCUUGACAUACACCGGUAACGCCCAGAGAUGGGUGCCCCUUUGUGGUCGGUGGACAGGUGGUGCAUGGUUGUCGUCAGCUCGUGUCGUGAGAUGUUGGGUUAAGUCCCGCAACGAGCGCAACCCUCGUCCUAUGUUGCCAGCGGGUCAUGCCGGGGACUCAUGGGAGACUGCCGGGGUCAACUCGGAGGAAGGUGGGGAUGACGUCAAAUCAUCAUGCCCCUUAUGUCUUGGGCUUCACGCAUGCUACAAUGGCCGGUACAAAGGGCUGCGAUACCGCGAGGUGGAGCGAAUCCCAGAAAGCCGGUCUCAGUUCGGAUUGGGGUCUGCAACUCGACCCCAUGAAGUCGGAGUCGCUAGUAAUCGCAGAUCAGCAACGCUGCGGUGAAUACGUUCCCGGGCCUU
rnacentral:rRNA from 1 species